rnacentral:rRNA from 1 species
AUUGAACGCUGGCGGCAGGCCUAACACAUGCAAGUCGAGCGGAUGAAGGGAGCUUGCUCCUGGAUUCAGCGGCGGACGGGUGAGUAAUGCCUAGGAAUCUGCCUGGUAGUGGGGGAUAACGUCCGGAAACGGGCGCUAAUACCGCAUACGUCCUGAGGGAGAAAGUGGGGGAUCUUCGGACCUCACGCUAUCAGAUGAGCCUAGGUCGGAUUAGCUAGUUGGCGGGGUAAAGGCCUACCAAGGCGACGAUCCGUAACUGGUCUGAGAGGAUGAUCAGUCACACUGGAACUGAGACACGGUCCAGACUCCUACGGGAGGCAGCAGUGGGGAAUAUUGGACAAUGGGCGAAAGCCUGAUCCAGCCAUGCCGCGUGGGUGAAGAAGGUCUUCGGAUUGUAAAGCACUUUAAGUUGGGAGGAAGGGCAGUAAGUUAAUACCUUGCUGUUUUGACGUUACCAACAGAAUAAGCACCGGCUAACUUCGUG